ACAGAGGGGGCAAGCGUUGUUCGGAAUUACUGGGCGUGAAGGGCUCGUAGGCGGCCAACUAAGUCGGACGUGAAAUCCCUCGGCUUAACCGGGGAACUGCGUCCGAUACUGGAUGGCUUGAGUUCGGGAGAGGGAUGCGGAAUUCCAGGUGUAGCGGUGAAAUGCGUAGAUAUCUGGAGGAACACCGGUGGCGAAGGCGGCAUCCUGGACCGACACUGACGCUGAGGAGCGAAAGCCAGGGGAGCAAACGGGA
rnacentral:rRNA from 1 species